CCUGUUUCUUAGUCAAAAAGAAUGUUGGUGUGGCUGUUGUGUCAUGUGUGCAUAAAUAGGUGGCAGAGAGGAGACAGGCUAUGACUAUGCUCAGUGUUCUGACCUGUGAAUACGUGAAUGAUUAGUAGCCUACCAUU